CCUACGGGAGGCAGCAGUGAGGAAUAUUGGACAAUGGGCGCAAGCCUGAUCCAGCCAUGCCGCGUGCAGGAAGACGGUCCUAUGGAUUGUAAACUGCUUUUAUACAGGAAGAAAUACUUUCUCGUGAGAGAGCUUGACGGUACUGUAAGAAUAAGGAUCGGCUAACUCCGUGCCAGCAGCCGCGGUAAUACGGAGGAUCCAAGCGUUAUCCGGAAUCAUUGGGUUUAAAGGGUCCGUAGGCGGUUUAAUAAGUCAGUGGUGAAAUCUGGUCGCUCAACGAUCAAACGGCCAUUGAUACUGUUAGACUUGAAUUAUUGUGAAGUAACUAGAAUAUGUAGUGUAGCGGUGAAAUGCUUAGAUAUUACAUGGAAUACCAAUUGCGAAGGCAGGUUACUAACAAUGGAUUGACGCUGAUGGACGAAAGCGUGGGGAGCGAACAGGAUUAGAUACCCUGGUAGUCCACGCCGUAAACGAUGGAUACUAGCUGUUGGGCGCAAGUUCAGUGGCUAAGCGAAAGUGAUAAGUAUCCCACCUGGGGAGUACGUUCGCAGAAUGAAACUCAAAUAGAGUAGAGCGUGAGAGAGCGACGGACGACGACGAGGGGAGGAGG
rnacentral:rRNA from 1 species